GACGAACGCUGGCGGCGUGCUUAACACAUGCAAGUCGAACGAGAAUCACCGGAAAGAGGAUUCGUCCAAUGGAAGGUGAGGAAAGUGGCGGACGGGUGAGUAACGCGUGAGGAACCUGCCUUGGAGAGGGGGACAACAGCUGGAAACGGCUGCUAAUACCGCAUAACAUAUCUGAAUCGCAUGGUUUGGAUAUCAAAGAUUUAUCGCUCUGAGAUGGCCUCGCGUCUGAUUAGCUGGUUGGCGGGGUAACGGCCCACCAAGGCGACGAUCAGUAGCCGGACUGAGAGGUUGAACGGCCACAUUGGGACUGAGACACGGCCCAGACUCCUACGGGAGGCAGCAGUGGGGAAUAUUGCACAAUGGGGGAAACCCUGAUGCAGCGACGCCGCGUGGAGGAAGAAGGUCUUCGGAUUGUAAACUCCUGUCGUUGGGGACGAGUAAUGACGGUACCCAACAAGAAAGCCAACGGCUAACUACGUG
rnacentral:rRNA from 1 species